AAAAACAUGAAGAAGUCAAAGAUGCUUUAUCAAGGCUAGCCAUUGUUGCAAAUGAGAUUAGCAAGGUCAAAGCAAAGACAAAUGAGAUGCUUAAUCAGAUACAAGAGCUGAAAGAAGAAGGCAUAGUCAGGAAAAAGAAACUAGUCAUGUGUAGAGGGUGGUUGUAUGUGUGUUUUCUGAUAAUAGGUUUUUAAGAUCAAUUAAUCGUAAAGCACUAUCAUGUCGUUGUAGUACUUUAGGUUGUCAAUCCAAAUGAGUGUGAUGCUAACAAUCAAGAUGUGAUCAGAAGUCACUAAGUCAAGCCAAGGAAUAACAGGUUUUGGUGUGUUCUAGCAGUUCUAAGUGAACGUGCAGAAAACAGAAAUUCAAGCAGAAACAAUAAAACACUCGACCAACACAGCUCUUUGCAGAGCACUGGGUGAGGUCGAGUGACAGGUCGAGUAACAGACAGAAAGUAUAACACAGAUACUCGACUGCACAGUCUCUUGCCAGAUAAUUGGGUGGUCUAGUAUGAGGACGAGUAACAAGAAAGAAUUGCAGAAAUUUAGCAACAAAUGACAAGAUGCAGUAAACAACAGUAGUGUAAACAAAUAAUUCAAUCAGAUAAAGAAUUCCCGAGGAUGGGGUAAUUGAGUAGUUUCGUUUCCUUAGUUUAUAGGUGAUUGACAUGCUCAAUAAAUUAUCCCUAGAA
rnacentral:sRNA from 1 species